rnacentral:lncRNA from 1 species
CAGUAUUUGGGGUUAAACCUUCAGAGGGCAUUUGUUGAAAAAGAUCUAUUGCUAUGUCCACUUUCAACUUUUUACAAUAACCAUUGAUGAGGAUAUUAUAGCUAAGUGUAUCAGGCAAUAUUGCCUUUCUCUUCAUGCUUUCAAACACUGCUAAUGUUUUAUCAACCUCUCCCCUCAAGCAGUAUCCAUCCAUUAGUGCAUUAUAUGUUACUACAUCAGGACAAUGGCCCCUUUGAGUCAUCAACUCUAUCACAUCCUCCGCAUCUUCAAUCAUUCCUUCUUUGCAAUACGCAUCAACCAAUAUGUUGUAAGUAAAAACAUCUCGAGAAAUGUUCCUAACAUUCAUCUCCUUGAGCAAUAGUUUGACAUCAUGCCAUCGAUUUAUGUCACACAGACCUAGAAUUAAUGAGUUGUAGGUUAUAACAUUUGGGGAUAUGCCUUUCCUUGUCAUUUGGUGGAGAAGACCCAAUGCUUGAUCAACCAAUCUAUGCUUACACAAACAGUCAAUAAGUGUGUUGUAAGUUACGGCAUCAGGCUUGCAACCUUUCUUGACCAUAUAUUUGAACAACUUAACAGCCACAGAAGGAUUCCCUCUCUUGCAGAUGCCGUCAAUGAUUGUGUUAUAGGUUACAACAUCGGGUUGAAUAAGUUUAAAUGUGAUGAGGUUCUGGAACAAAAGCUGAGCCUCAUGAGGCAUAUCUUGGGAAAUAAGGCCCCUGAUGAGAGUGUUAUAGGUAAACACAUCAGGAACAAAACCGUACUUAAUAAUUCCAGCCAGUAAUGAAAAGGCAAAUUCGACAUGAUUCAAGUGACAAAAGCAGUUAAUGAGAGUAUUAAAGGUAAUUACAUUAACAGGGAUGCUUUCUACACGCAUCUUUCUAAAAACAGAGACAGCUACUGAGUAGUGUUUCAUUUUAACAAGGGCGGCUAACAGUUGAUUGAAGUCGAUAACAUUAGGCAGAGGUUUCAUACUGAGCAUUUUAUCAAACACUUGGAGAGCAUCAUCGAGUUUAUCGAAACCAACCUUGGAUUUCUCAAGGAGUAGAUGUUGAAGUCGAGCAUGAGUUGGAUGAGAUGAAUAAGGGAAAUUAUUAGGGUUUGGUUUAGUGGAGAAGCGAGAAAGCGAAUACAAAUCAAAGCAACAAGUGAAAUUACCAGAAGAAUGUGCAAGUAGUAACUGAGAUUUCAAUGGACAGAAGGUCCUCAUCAGUCUCUUCAUCAUCAUCUUUGAAUUUCUCUCUUUCACUGUCUGCUCUUUAUCUACAAACUCUGCUCUUCUUGUAAAUUGUAAUGUUGUGUAUUUUCUGUUUCACUGCGAUUGUGUGCUUCAAUGUUAAAAUUCUCUGUAAUUUUGUAUCACCAUCCGAAUCUGAAACCGGAGAAUAAUAUAAUUAUAUAUAUAUAUAAUUUUAUAUAUUACAUGUCGUAUUAAAUUAUAUAACACAAUUAUAUAUUAUUUUAUAUACUGGAGAUUAUACAAUAUACAUAUUAUUGUAUAAUUAGAAUAUGUAUUUUUCUUAAAGUUAAAAAUUGGCUAAUAAUAAACUUUAACAAAAUUAAAUUAUUGUAUAAUUCAAAUGGUUGAUACAGUGAACUAAAAUUUUCUAGAAACAAAUAUUGUUAAUUGAUUUGAUUAAUAAAAUUUUAGUUAUUCAUUUAUAAACCAAACUGAUAUUGAUUUCGAGUGCUUGUAAUUUUUAUAAUCAUAAAUAAUCAGUAAUUAAAAAUAUUUUCCGAUUUCAGGUUCAGGUUUUAGGUUUUAGAUAUUCAAUAUAAAAAAAAAAUCAAGUUUCGUGUAUACCCGAAAUCCAAUCCGAAAUUCAUAGGAUUAGGUUCAACUAUUCAUUUUAGAUAUUUUUCGAGUUCAGAUUGAAUCUGGGAUGGAUAAAAAAUUCGGAGUUUGAAUAUGUAUUUUGUCAUACCAUUCCUCAUACUUGAUCCAAUUCAAUAGUCAUCCCUAGUCCAAACAGGUCCAAAACGAUUAUAUUUUAACCGAUUCAAAUAAAAAAUUUCAAUCCUACAUAUACCCGGAUUAAAAGUACACCUAUAAAUUUUGAUUUUCUCAAACUGACCCAAUCUAAAAUGUCCGAUUAAAAUUGGAAUAGUUAAAAAUCAAUACUAUAACUAAAAAAAACACCAAAUGAUAUACAUAUGUCAGCUUCUCCUUCAAUUGCUAACAUCAUCUUUCACUUAUUAUUUGAUUAAUUAAUUAAUUAAUUAAUUAAUUUGUUUUCUCUUUCUCAUUAAUUACAAUCUCCACUUAUUCCCUCUCAUACUCAUUUCUCACCUACUUCAUCAUUUUUCUUUAACUAAAAGUUAAAAUAAUUUUUCUUCCAUUCUCAUUUCUCAACUAUUUUUAGAUCUUAAUUUAAUUUUUUUUUAAAAUGCUUAUCGAUUAUUUUAUAUUUUUAAUUCAAAAAAAAUCAUAAUCACGAAUAUUCAAAUAUUUUAGUUAUCACUUUAAUUUUUUGUUUAAAAUUAUUUAAUUUGAAAUAUACUCCAUCCACUCUAUUAAAACUUACAUAACUUAUAAUAUAUAAAUAUAAUCAGGUUAUAUAAAGUAUGAGAAAAACAUUAUUAAAAAUUAUAUUUAAUUUAACUCUCAUAUUUAAUUUUAACACUUUUAAAAUUAUACAUAAAUAUUAACUUGUAGUCAAACUUGAAUUUAAACAUCGCAUAGGUUAUGAAUCAGACAGGAAACUCAUUCCAUAACCUUAGUUUCAGCUUGUGUUUUUACUUUUCAGUUUCGGACUUUCUUUUUUCAUUUUGUAAUAUGAAGAAAAUAAUAAUAACAUGACAGCAAUCCAAUCCAACCCACAGGUUCAUUUGCCUCCCUUUCCAGUAAUCCACAUUCUGAUACUAUUCCAGAGCAUCCAUCUUUCCGGAUUAAUAAAUACUAUAAAAGAUGGAAUAAAGUUUUUCUCAAAAGUAGGGACAAUUUGGAGAGAGAAUGUCAAUAGUACGAUUUUCCACGUGACACGAAAAUUAAACGAAAAUUUAGUGUUUGUGUUUUCAUUUUGAGUACACGGCACAAAAAAUACUAGAACACUAAGUACACGACUGACGUGUAAUGUCGGUUUUGUGUUUGCCCUUUGAGUACACGACACGAGUUACACGAAAUAAAUAUAAUUUAUAAUUAAAUAUUAAUAUUUAAUUAUAAAUAUGUAUAAUUAUAAUAAAUAAUUAAAUAUAUGUUAUUUUCUUUUAAAAUAAUGGAUAGUUUAUAAUAUUGUAAGUAUAAGUGACUCAAAUGUAUAUAUUUCAUAUAAUUUUGUAAAAUUUUUACCUAGAAAUCUAAUACUUACAUUAUUUUAUAUAUUUAUUUAUAUUUAUUAAAUAUUUCAGUUCAACUUUACACGAAACACGAUGAGAACGACCCGGAAACGGAGUUACACAACACGAAAAUACAUGAACACUGAAUGGUCGGUGGUCGGUUUUGUGUUUGGUUUCUAAGUACACGACACCGAAGUAUACUAUACGAACGGAUCGUCGGGUCUAGAAAAGAGUGCUUCGCUUUUUGACCUAUAAAUUCAGGCUCGCUUAAAAAAACUAAUACAAUGGUUAACAUGAUGCAUGGGACACCAAAAUAAGACACUCAACUUGACGUUUAUGAUAUGUUAAUGUACUGUAGUUUGGCUAUACACCUCUGUACCCAUUGCACACCUUGCUGCGUACACAGAAUAUCAAGUCUUCCAUUUGAAUUUCGGAAAGAAAAAUGUUUCAUCAGUACCAAGCACACAUCUGAAGACUUUUGAAACAGAAUAUUGCUAUAUAUACAGAAACAUUCUAAACAAUAGAAAAUCUACUAACCUGCCUCUGUCAUUGUGUCGCUCAUUGAGACAAGAUGACUAUUGGUUUCCAGUUGGUCAUGGUAUUACCAAUAUUCAUGGCUUUGUCAUUCUUUGGCAUGUAUGAGGCCAGGGCUGGCCGGCUUCUUAUGAAUGCACCGUUCCAGCUUCCCGCCAUCCCCAACUUCCCGUUCCCUCCUUCCCUGGGAUCCCAGGUAAACUUUUUCUUCAUUAUAUGUUUAAUUGGUUCCGGAGAUGAGCUUCAUAUUUACCUAUACGGUUAAUGGUGCUCUCUCGUCCUCAAACUUAUUAUUGUCAUGCACUGUAACCCUGGAAGUUAUGAUCACGGCAUUUUCUUUGGUUACUUUGUCAAUGACCUGUGAAGGGGUUCAUAACCUUAACAUUUCUUCUGAAUGUCAGUGGUACUAAUGCCAUUGCUAGGUGUAAGGUGUUGCCAACUUAGGAGGAUAAAUAUGUUAAUUUUGAACUACAUGGACAAAAUAUUAGCAUGUUAUAGACUCAGAGGACGGGAGGUGUUAUAUAUCUUCUGAUUAUAAAUCUCUGCUUAACAGCAUAAACACGUAUUAUAAUAUAAUAGUAAAGCAAGUUAUUUCAGCUUUUAUUUUACCCUCGAAAAUUAUCCUCUGGACAAUGUAGUUCUAGAUCAUUAUUUUCUAGAUGUAAAAGCUAACAGCACCACUCGCAUAUUGUCCUGCUUUACUGUUCGUGUGUAUGGUAGAACUCUCAAGUUUUGAGGGAUUCACAAAGUAGUGGAGAAUAGCAUGACAACGAGUCAACGACAUAUGUGGGUGAAAAUUCUUUACUAUUGAUAUUCAUAAUCACUAUGGGUUGCAUUCUGUUAUUGAAAGAAAGUUAUCCAGUUAGGCUACGAUGUUAAGGAUGAUUGUGAAGUCAGGGGAACACACAAAUUUACUACUCAAGAAAGUUCGAUUCAAAUUUUUUAUAAUCCACUCUAGAAAUAUUUCAAGGUGUUUUAUGAUGACUUACAAACAAAUGCAGUGGUUUAUUAUGUCGAUUGGGACUUCAACACAAAAGAUUGGCCUUCUGGGAAACCCUUUCACGCAGGUGACAUAAUCGGUAAGCCAGCAAUAAUCUGUUAAAUCAUGGAAUUUAACACCAUUGUUGCAUAUCAACAUAAAAAUCAUCUUCACUUUAACUGAUCAAAUUUUUACAUUUUUUUGAUUGGUUUUCAUUUGCAGUAUUUAACUACAAUAGAAAUCUGCAUAAUGUGGUUACAAUAAAUGAGACCAAAUAUGAAGAUUACCUGAACUGUGUUGUAUCUGACAAGGCAAACAUCCUGAGCACCGGAAAAUGGAAAUGAUGCAAUAACGCUGCAAAAUGGAGUCAACUACUUCAUUUGUGGUACAAUGGGCCACUGUACUGCUGGAAUGCAGAUAGCUAUUGUUACGACCUAAUUAACUUUAAGCUAAUAGCAGAUUAUUGUAAUCCAUGUGAUGCUAAUUGUAAUUAUAAGAACAAUAUGCUUGAUAUAAUAUCUACAUUAAGUUUACUUACUUCAAACUUUGGUCAUUGUCUACGUUAAAAUAUGUUGGUGAUAACGCAAGAAAAUGUGUUCAAUAUUAUACCAUGAGCCAACAAUUUCUUACAUUCUACUUUUUGGCAAUCAUUAUUCUUAUCUGGCAAGAACAACUUAAACAAGGGAAAAAAAACAAAAAUCGAUAAUGUACCUCUAUCGAUUAGGCUUCUUUAAAUGGAAGCCGAGAUGCAUCUUUGAAGAACCGGUAAAAACUAAAAACUUUGGGCUAAAAUGAAUAGAAAUGCUUCACUGUACUUCUUAGUUUGAAUACCUUCACAUUCGAGUAUAAUGUGGGUCAUUAUCUGGCAAGCAAUCAUUUCAGCUUCAACUCCUCCAAACAGGGCAUUAUUUCGUCAAACCUUCUCGACAAAUCCUUACAUCAGCAUUGUGUAUGUCCUGUUUUUGCAGUCGUUGAAAGUAAGUUAACAUAAAGAUAUUUGGCAUUGUAAACCUCUUCGUUUCCUGCACAACUUGUCAAGCAGGAUAUUAGACAUGAAAAUUUCAGGAAUGAAAUCACUGAAUUGCAUCAACUGAAAGGACAGUGUUUCAUUAACAAAUAAGUACUGCAAAGGCCAUUUUGCAAGAUAUUGCAUGUCAUAGUAUCUAGUAUUGAAACAAAAGGUUUUAAUAGAUAAUAGAUUUCUAAAGUUCAACUUAUUUUACACAUUUAUAUUUUCCAUUCGGACAGCUACCUUGCACCAGCAAGAAAAUUACCCUAAAGGAGCAUAUUAUGGUCAUGAGAUGGACAGCAGUAAUCAAUGCAUUGAGUAAUGAGAUGAUCAGCUGAAAAUCUGACCAAGUGACUAAGAAGACUACACAUAACUCAGGCAGUUACAGUACAACUCUUGAAAAGUCUGAUAGUCUAAUUCAUAUAUGACAGCAAGCGUGAACCAUGCAAAAAAUGAAUUUGUAAGAAUUUGGACAUCAUCAAGCACACCGGUAACUCGGUAAGAUACUGGAGAUCUGGACAAAUCGGAGAAUUGAUUUCUAAUUAUAAUUGUAACUGAUUAUUUUUUCACUUGAGGAAAAAAAAAAUACAAUGGGGUUUCAAUAGAAAUUGAGAGAAUUGAGUAAAUUAUAGUUGCAUUUGCUCAAGUUUUUUUUUACUGUGGUAACAUAAGAUAAGAGCUGCAAUUUCAUUUUUAUUAAAGACCUGGGAUGACUAGUUGAAAAGCUCUACACAACUCUUUCAGGUGUUCACCUGAAAGUGCUAGACAGGGGCCUUGGGAUCUGCUACUGCCAAUUGGCAUGGGAUGAAAAACCUACAGAGUCAGUAUCACUUGAUCUCUCCAUCCAGGUUGUUCAUUGUCAGAAUCUAACAGUAGUAACGAGAGGUUAUAGUGAAGAAGAGUAUAAUACAGAACUAUAUCCUUUGUGGAGGAAAGAAACAGACUAGUAGACACCCUUAGAAAAUUCAAAUAUCACUAAGAGACUCUCAAUUUAGACUUAGAGUCAUAAGUGAAAAGUGAAGGAGGAAUGAUAAAAACAUAUACUACAUUUCUUUCAUUUUUGUGCAGUUUUGACUUUAAAUAUCCAACCUGGCAUCUUAACAUGAGAAAGAGACUAUUAUACUGCAACUUUAGCAAAGUCGGCACUAAUUGGUUUUUGAUAGAACUGGCUACAUCUGGAGAAUGUUGGCAAAUGAAAUAAAUUAUGUACCUUAGCAAUCGCUCCCUUUGUUAUACAUAUCAAUAGCCUUUAACGCAACGGUUCUGGGCAUCUUGCGGUUUGAGCAAGUCCAGUAAGUGGUUGAUGCAUCUGCUGAGAAGUCACGAGAACGCAUCUGAUCCACAUGUACACCUGCACUGUACUUAUUAUAAGAACUACAAAUAUGUGUGUUGUGGGUAACAGCAUCUGGGGAGCAAUCAUUAUCUUCCAUUUCAGCAAAUAGAUCACUGGCUUCAUCAAACAAACCAUCAUGGCACAAUCCUCCUAUCAUCAUUCCAAAAUUUUACUAGCUAAUUAUAUUAUAUAAAAACUAUCUGGAAAAAAAAAUAUAUAUAUAUAUAAACUAACCCCAACAAUUGGUCAUUUCAGUACAUGGAAGAAAAUAUAUUAGUCGGUAGGAGAACAACUGCGAACUUUACAGCAUAUAACAUCUCACAGCAUAGUAGUUGAGCCUGUGCGCACUACAUGCCAUUAUUUUGAUUGUUACUGCCUGCAAAUUUGUUUGCAAACCUUAACAAAUGCUGGCAAAUUCGAAAAAAGUAUGUACCUGGGCACUCUCAUCCUUUGUCACACCUAUGGAAAGUACCUCACAUGCAAGGCGAGUAGAGCAGGAUCCCGUUCUUUCACUUCAAGUAAGUGUAGUAAUGCAGAUGCCGUAGAUGCAUCCGCGACAAAGCGGAGACCAAGCAUUUCAUCUAGGAGUACACCUGCUUCAUAGUACUUCCUAUUCUGUAAGCAACCGUGGAUAAGCAUGUAGUAUGUGACAUCACCAAGCUAGCAAUCAUUAGCUUCCAUUUCCCUGAAUAGUUCAUUCGCUUCAUCCAAUAACCCUCCAUGACAAUAUGCUUGGAUCAUCACUGUGUAUGUCUUGACAUUAGGUCGCAAACCUUUCGCAGGAAGGUUGUUAAAAAGAGUUCUUGCUGCUUCAAGUUGUCCUUUUUUGCUUAAUCCAUCAAUCAGAAUGGCAAAUGCAUAAAGCAGGAACUAACCCACUGCAUUCCAUCAUUUGAAGAAAGGACAGUGCUUCAAGAACCAUGGUUGUCACGUCGAUGAGUCGAGGCGAGUCGAUGGACCUCCGUCUAAUCGACUAGUCGACUAGUCGUUGACAAGUCGUAGACUAGUUGACAAAAAAAAUAUUAUUAUAAAUUAAAAAUUAUAUAUAUAUAUAGACACACACACACACACGCACACAUAUAUAUAUAUCGUGUAAAUUGGAUUUUUUAGUUCUAACACCUUCCACAAUGUUUUACAGUAUUUCAGAUUCUAAGGAAUUAAGAAUCGGAAACUUAAAGAGAAUGAUGGAAAAGCGAAAAGAGUUAACAAAUAACAAUAAAACAAAGUAAAAUAUGUAACAACUGAUAUAUAACAAUUGUGUGAUACUGUGAUGUGAUGUGGUAGUGCAGCAAGUAAGCAACAAAUAUGCGCAGAAAUAAUAUAUACAAAGUUAUGCACAACUUAUUGUGCAGAUUGCAGAAAAACAGAGCAGAAAAUAUAAUCAGAGAAAACCAAAGCAGGAUAUUUAGCAGCUCGACUAGUCGACUAGUUGGUCGUCGACUAGUCGACUAGUCGACCGAAAUAUCAACAUUCAGCUAGUCGACAAGUUGAGUCGACAUCCAUUCACCGCUUAGUCGACUAGUCGUCGACUAGUCGAGACUAGUCGACCGACAUGACAACCAUGUCAAGAACAUAAACGUUCUCGCAAAGACCAGGACUAAUUGAGGCUUUUUAGUAUUAGUAAAAGAUACCAAGCUAAUUGAGGCUUCUUGUGGAUAAAUUUGUAUAGGUAUAUAAUAUAUGUUAAUUUCUGGAGACAUGAUGGACCAAGGCUCUGACAAAAGAAAGACCAAGCCAACUAAUGCAAUUGCAAAAAAUUUAAUAUUCAACAAAAUAAUAUCAAAUUGACUCCAACCAACCGUAAUCAUAUUAUGUUGAGAGAUAUAACUAAACUAAAUACAAACAAAGAGGAAUUGCCAAAACUUAAAACAGUGGCAUUUGACAUAAUACUAAUACAGCUAGUCACCAAUAGAUACCAAUAUGAUUUAACUCCAAAUUUGUGGAAGAACCUUUAAAACUAUCUUGUACCUUAACAAACUCUCUCCUUGCUUACACUUGGGGAAAGAACUUCCUAUGCAAAGCAUGGAGAACUGGGUCCUGUUUUUCUGAUCUGAGUAGGUCCAUUGGCAUGUAGGUGGUAGAGGUAUCUGCCGAUAUACUACUUCAACUCGGUCGCAGCUGUUUAAAUAGAAAAGACAGCAAUCCUGAAUAUACUUGCAUCAAAGCUACCUCUUUUAAAUGAGCGCUCCGUCCGGAUCCAGUCCAAUCAUAAAAGCAAAUUAUAUACAGAGGAAAUAAUCAAAAAGGCACUUAAAUAUAUUUGUAAACACCAGCACACCACAUUUGCACUCAUUAAGAAAAUACUCUUUGAUUUUCUCGAUAAAUCACCAGAGCAACAUGAAGAGGAACAGAAGAACUCUCUGAAAUAGAAUUGAACAAUAUUUCAUGGGACAAGUUUCAUCCAAGAGUAGUUGUUAAAUACCAAAUUUAAUAGCACAUGAGAUUCAUGGCAUGUUAUCUCAUACAAAUCAACAGUUACAACACAUAUGUUAAGUAAUCUAAUAGAUGUAUAAUUGAUCCAUAAAUAAUUAAUGUUCAUCACUUAAAACAGAAAAAAAAUAACCAUGGCAAGAACCUCAUACACAAAGCAAGCAAAUUUUGAUCCUGUUCCCACCAUUCAAGCAAGUCCAGUAACAUGGAGGUCUUAGAAGCAUAUAUUCUGAGAAGCCGCGACCACAUAUCUCUUCUUUAAGUACAAUUGCCCCGUUGUGCAAAAACCACAGAUAAGGGUGAUGGAGGUAGCAUCAUUUGGGAAGCAAUCAUUUCUUCCAUUUCCACAUAUGGUUCAUUUGCUUUAUUGAGUAAGCCUUCUUGACAAAAUACCUGUAUCAUCAUUGUGUAUGUCUUCACAGUAGGUCGCAAAAAUAUUUUCAAGGAAGGCUGUCAAAUAUACUUCUUGCCUUUCCAAAAUUUCUCAUCUAUUAGAUAUUGGGCCAUUAACAAAGAAACCAAAGAAAAUUUUUGAACUUAACUGAGUCGAGGGACUCCAAAGAGUAGCUUAACUUAUUGUUGUAUUUCCUCGGAGUGAUGAUUACAGACAAUAAAAAAAUCGAAAAAACUGGAUGCGUAAACAACAAAGGACCAGUAGGAGAACUGCAAAUUUUACAACACUUAUAUCGAACUAAUCCUAGCAAACUCGAAAAGAUUAUGUACCUGGGCACUCUCUUCCUUUCAAACACUUAAGGAUCGGAGAGUACUUAUCACGCAAGGCAAGGAGAGGAGGAUCCGGUUCUUGCACUUCAAGUAAGUCCAGUAAUGCAGAUGCUGUAGAUGCAUCUGCUGCAAAGCUGUGGCCAAGCAUUUCAUCUAGGAAUACACCUGCUUCAUAGUACUUCUUAUUCUGUAAACAACCACGGAUAAGCAUGUUGUAUGUGACAUCAGUAGGCAAGCAAUCAUUAGCUUCCAUUUCCCUGAAUAGUUCAGUCGCUUCAUUCAAUAACCCUCCAUGAAAAUAUGCUUGGAUCAUCAAUGUGUAUGUCUUGACAUUAGGUCGCAGACCUUUCGCAGGAAGGUUGCUAAAAAGAGUUCUUGCUGCUUCAAGUUGUCCGUUUUUGCUUAAUCCAUCAAUCAGAAUGGUGUAAAUAUAUAUAUCAGGAACUAGCCCACUGCAUUCCAUCAUUUGGAAAAAGGACAGUGCUUCACGAACAUAACCAUUCUUGCAAAGACCAUCCAAUAAAAUUGCGCAAGUCACUUUAUUCAACUGAAGACCUUUGUUAAGCAUCAUCUUUUCCUUAAAAAAUUUACGUGCUUCAACAUGUCUACCCGCACGAAAAAAACCUUGCAUUAUAGUAUUGUAAGUCUCAGUAUUUGGGGUUAAACAUUCAGAGGACAUUUGUUGAAAAAGAUCUAUUGCUAUGUCCACUUUCAACUUUUUACAAUAACCAUUGAUGAGAGUAUUAUAGCUAAGUGUAUCAGGCAAUAUUGCCUUUCUCUUCAUGCUUUCGAACACUGCUAAUGUUUUAUCAACCUCUCCCCUCAAGCAGUAUCCAUCCAUUAGUGCAUUAUAUGUUACUACAUCAGGAUAAUGGCCUCUUUGAAUCAUCAACUGUAUCACAUCCUCUGCAUCUUCAAUCAUUCCUUCUUUGCAAUACGCAUCAACCAAUAUGCUGUAAGUAAAAACAUCUCGAGAAAUGUUCCUAACAUCCAUCUCCUUGAGCAAUAAUUUGACAUCAUGCCAUCGAUUAAUGUCACACAGUCCUUGAAUUAACGAGCUGUAGGUUAUAACAUUUGGGGAUAUGCCUUUCCUUGUCAUUCGGUGGAGAAGACCCAAUGCUUGAUCAACUAAUCCAUGUUUACAUAAACAGUCAAUAAUUGUGGUGUAAGUGAUCGUAUUAGGCCUGCAACCUUUCUUCUCCAUAAUUUUAAACAACUUAACAGCCACAGAAGGAUUCCCUCUCUUGCAGAUGCCGUCAAUGAUAGUUGUAUAGGUAACAACAUUGGGUUGAAUAAGUUUAAAUCUAAUGAGGUUCUGGAACAAAAGCUGAGCCUCAUGAGGCAUAUCUUGGGAAAUAAGGCCCCUGAUGAGAGUGGUAUAAGUAAACACAUCAGGGACAAAACCAUGCUUGAUGAUUCCAGCCAAUAGUGAAAAGGCAAAAUCAACACGAUUCAAGUGACAAAAGCAGUUAAUGAGAGUAUUGAAGGUAAUUACAUUAACAGGGAUGCUUUCUACACGCAUCUUUCUAAAAAGGGAGACAGCUACGGAGUACUCUUUCAUCUUAAUCACAGCGGCUAAGAGUUGAUUAAAUUUAAGAACGGGAAGCAGAGGCUUCAUAAGGAGCAUUUUAUCAAACACUUGGAGACCAUCAUCGAGUUUAUCGAAACCAACCUUGGACUUCUCAAGGAGUAGAUGUUGAAGUCGAGCAUGAGUUGGAUGAGAUGAAUAAGGGAAAUUAUUAGGGUUUGAUUUAGUGGAGAAGCGACAAAGCGAAUACAAAUCAAAGCAACUAGUGAAAUUACCAGAAGAAUGUGCAAGUAGUAACUGAGAUUUCAAUGGACACAAGGCCCUCAUCAGUCUCUUCAUCAUCAUCUUUGAAUUUCUCUACUUCACUGUCCGCUCUGUAUCUACAAACUCUGAUCUUGUUGUAAUGUUGCUUAUUUUCUGUUGCGGGUGUAUUCAUUCGAUUGACAUAAAAUAGAUUGUUUUUUGAUUUAUGAAUAUAUGGAUUUUAAUGGAGUUAUUUUUGAUUUUAUGCGGAUUUUGAUAAAAUGUAACAUAGUUUAUAUACUCUUUCUGUUUACGUAUUUUUAAGUGCUUUGACCCUAUAAAAAAAUGAUUAUUUUCAAAAAAAUUCUUUUUUGAAUAAAAAUAUAUGAUUGAUAUUAUUAUUUGGAAAAAGAAAAUUUCAAAAACAAUAAUUUUAAGCCUGCGGUCAAAAGACUUAAAAAUACGUGCAAAAAAGUCAAACGACCUGUAUUUCAAAACGGAUGGAGUAGAUUUUUGUAGAUUUAAGCACAAUACUUCAAAAUCUCAUGAAUUUUGAUGGGAUUUCAAAAAAAUUAAAAUACAUUAAAUAAUUUCAUAAAAUUCAUCAUUUUAUGAAAUCUAUUGCCAUUUGAAUAAUAUCAGAUUCUUUAGGACAUUUUUCUCGAUUAAUAAAGGUGCAGGAGUGCUCGAUGGCCAUCAGAUAAGAUUAGUUAGAGUACCUUGUAUUGCAACCAUAGAGUGGCAUAGCUGUGGUACAUCUCAUUUGGUUUACAAUUUUGCUUGGAAUUUAGAAUCUAACUAGCCCAUACUAAAAUUUCAUAUGAAUUUUCAUGAUACAUAUAAGUGUUUAUUUUAUAAUUUUUUUUCCCAUGUAUCUGGGGAAGUGAAAUUUAUGAUGCAAUGUUGAACCAGACAAUGGGGCCGUUUGGGUGAGAUUAAAAUAAGUGCUUAUUGCUUAAAAUAAAUAAGUGGAGUAGAAGUUAGAAACAAGAUAAGACUCAUAAGUGAUUAAAGUGUUUGGGAAAUAAGUAGAAGUCCUGAAACAAAAGCUAGCAUUCCUAGCUUUUUAUAAUUGCUUCUUGACUUAUUACACAAACGAUACGAAUAAGUGCUCAUAACUUAUAAUUCAGAAACUGGACUUAUAAGUCCCAAACAAACACCCACAAUGUUUGAUGUUAUUCAACUUCUAGGUCACUCCCUUCUUCUAUACUUCUACCUUUAGUUUUUCCUGAGAAUAUUCUUUUAUAAUUUAGGAUGAUAAUUAAGUCACUUAUGGAGAAUUUGAGAAAGUAGGGUUAUUUUUUUGGGACAAUAAUUUGACAAGCUUAAUAGGAAAAUACUGGACUUUCACCGGAUUGGAAAUGAAAAAAAUGGUCCCAAAUCUCAAAUAUUCUUGAAUUAAUGCCCAAAAUAACAGAGUUGGGAAAAAUAGCCCCAAAUACCAGUUAGAGACGCUGGUAAUCUAGCGUUUUCAAUUUCGUGUAGCGUUUUGCCAACACCCGGGAAUGAACGACAUUCUUGAUUUUAAAAAUCCGUUCCCAAGACAUCAAAUGAUAUAGUAGUUUGUUUUAUCGGCAAAUCCAACAGUGGCCUAAAAGUUCAAAUUUGGACCGGUUUUGGUCUAAAUCCUCCCAACAGUGGCCUAAAUCUUGGUACAAAUUUAGGCCGGUGAACAGUACUGAUGUGAAUCAAUUUAAACCCUUUUUUUGCCGAUAAUAAUAUAGAAUAAGAAAAAGUAUCGUUCUACGCCAGGAAUCAAGGGCUCACUUAACUUAUAUUUUGCAAAGAAAAAACGAUUGGAUUUUGUUUUAUCUAUUAAUUAAACUAAUUAUUAAACUAAAGCAAAUGUGUUUUUAACAAUCAAAGAAGCAUGUUGAAAAGCAUGAUGAUACACCACUAAACCCAUGACAUAGUCUGAAACUCUUAUGAUAUGUUCUGAAAGACACUUAUAGAGAACUUGCCAUGGCCCACAUUAAAACAAGCUCUGCUAUCCGCAUAACCCCAUGAACCACAUAGAAAGGCUAAAACAGAUUACACACUGAUACAAUUAAUCUCAUGGACCACAUAGAAAGAUUAAUUGACUUUACAGAUAUAUCAAUCAUAUAACUGAAUUGGAUGUCCACAUACCACAGUUAAUUCAAGAAUAUCUAUAACCAUUAACGUAUAUAUAAGCACAAUCGAGAACAUAUCUCGGAAAAUCAAAAUAUCAUUGUCAUAAAGUUUAGGGCUUCAAAACAUAGUAAAACACGUAAGAACCAUAAAAAGAAUAGAAUACGAUACAAAGUGUUGAUCCUUUCGAUUCUUCUCCGUGGCUCUUCUCAAUAGCACGUAUGUAAAACUAAAACUAAUAAUACCUAAUACAAAAGUGUUUUUAUUCUAAUAGGAAUAGACAAGGCAAUUCCGAAACUGAAUAGGUUUCCAAAGUCAAAAUUCGCAGUUGACUUUUUCUCUGUUCCUGGGCUUUUUCAGCAGGCUUUUGAUAUCUGGACCCAUCUAGAAUGAUAAAAAAUUAAAUUAUCUUCGCGUGGGCUAUUGAAUCGCCCAAAUCCGCCUUCUAGAAUUCAAGAUAUGGCCCAAACAAUAUUCCGAAUGCGGGUAGCCCAAUAGUUGCGAAUUUUCUUAUAAUAUGUCCAAAUCCUUUCCAAUUUGGAAUUUCUUGCUCCCUACAAUGAGAUAUUAAAAUAAAUUAAUAUAUGUCUAAUUAAAUGCAAAAUAUAACUAAUAUGACAAUAAUUAUCAUCUAAAAUAUAUAUAAAUAUAUACUCUAUCAAGUACCGGCCUAAAUUUAGGCCGGCACUAUUCACCGGCCUAAAUCUUUUUAAUAAUAUAAUAAUAAAAUUUUAUCUUUUGUAUAUUUAGUUAAUUAAAUGAUUUUAUGUUAAUAUAAUUAUUAAAUAUUUAUAACUAUAUAUUUAAUAUAUUUUACUUAAAUAAUCAUAUAUAUAUAUAUUAAUAAUGAAAUAUAAUAAAAUUAAAUAAUCUUAAAAUAAUUCAAGUUAACAACACAUUGAAAUGCUCGAUUUCAACAAUUUCAUGGACGACAUUGAAAAAUAAAAAAUAAAAAAUAAAAAAGCUCAUAUUGCACUUCGAGAUGUAUUAAUUGGCAUUUGUGGAAACAGUAUAUUAAUUCGGAGUAGUAUUGAAUCUUUGUAAAUUUUAUUUAGUUAAUUAAAUAAAAUGUUAAUUUUUAUUUUAUUUUCUUUGUUUAAAUGUAGUAUUUUCCUAAUUUAAUGAAUUUAUUGAGUUUAAUAUUAAUAUGAAAUCUUAUAUUAUUGUUAAAAAGAUUAGAAUAAUAAUAUAAAAAGGGAAUUGAUAAAUAAACUCCACAUUUUACUCUUUAAGCUCCAAUUUCAUAUUUUAUACCACAUUUACCCAUGAUUUCUACACAUGUUUCAUGCAUAUUAUAGGUGAUUAUGUUAUUUGGGUAAAAGAAAAAUUGAAAUGGAGUUUAAAUAGUAAAAUUUGGAGCUUAUUUAUCAAUUCCCUAUAAAAAUUAGAGGAAUAAAAUAUUGUUAUAUGAAUUUGAACUAAAAUUUAGGCCAAACUGUUAGAAUGGAAAGAUAGCUCGGUCUAAAUUUGGAUUAAGAUUUAGGACAAAAACGGGUUCCAUCUUGAAGAUGGCCUUAGAAGUUAAAACAAUGAAACUUCCCAACUUUAACCAAUGAAUUCUUUCUUUAAGGGGUCCUGAACAGAUAUCUUCAGAAGGCUCUAAUAGCAUGAACAUCAGUUACAUUGCAUCCCUAAUCUUUGCAAUUGUUUUACUUGUUGGCUAUAUGAUAUAUGGUGCAACGCUUCACAUUGUAAAGUUGAGAAUGAUUUUCACCACAUGCAGAAACUAAAAACGCGACCAGAAGCCGCUGAUGUUGCCAGAUCCCAUGUUGGAUAUACUAUCAAUUAAUUUUGUCGAACUCUAUAUAACACAAGGAUCAUCAAACUAGACUUUCUGAUGUAGUAUCCCAUUAUCAUUAUCUUUAGUAGUUAUUUAUUUUUUAUAUUUUAAGUUGUUGGAUGGAAUGAGGAGAGAGUGAAAUAAAAAAUAAAAAAUAAAUUAUGAAGAGAAAAGAAAAUAUGUGAAUAAAUAUGAGCAAAUCUAAAUUUUUUGUGAGGAAGAUCGUAAAAAAAUAUGUGGAGUGGAAUCAUCAAUAUUCCUUCUAAAAUAUGUGGGUUAGAUUUUUAGUGUAGAUAGUUGGAAUUGAAUGAUAGGAGUAUCUCCAACGGCAUUGGCUAUAAUCAGUGUUGUGAAAAGCGCAAAUCGGUUCUAGGCGGUAGGAGGACCUUCUAGCGUUUAAGCGGUAAGGCGGACGCUUAAGCGGAAUUUUAAGCGGGUCAAUAAGCGGAUUAAUUAAAUAUAAUUUAAAUAUCUAGUUAUAAUAUUAAUAUAUUUAAAAAUAAUAUUAUGUUGUCUGAAGAAUAUGCAUUUUUAAUAUUUUUGAUAAAAUAUAUUUUUUUAGUUUUAUAAUAUAAUUAUAGUUAUAUUAUUAAAAAUAAAUAUUUCAAAAUUAAUUUUUUUUAAAAAUUAGCAAGUCAACAUCAUUUUGACUGCUUAAUUACCGCUUAACGACCGCUUAAUCCGCUUAAUUGUCCACUUAAUUUUCAAAAACGCUUAAUCUCCCGCUUAGUACAAAAUCGAAGCGCUUUAGGGCCGAUUCCGCUUAGGCGGCCGCUUAAUCGGCCGCUUAAUGCGCUUUUUAUAACACUGGCUAUAAUUGUUGGCUAAAUUGGAUCGGUAAGAAAUUAGGUAAAAUUUGCUAAAUCUGUAAGACAUUUUGCUUCAAUGGUAUUGGCUAUAUUGGUUGGUUAUAAUUUAAAAAUAGUAUGUUAUUAAUAUUUUAAAUUGUUAAAAUAGAAUAUAUCAGUUCAAUAUGGUAAUAAAUGAUGUACAAUCUUGCUACAGAUUUUCUUACAGACCUGUAGAGGUUCGACAAAUUUAGCCAUCCACGGCUAAAUUUAUAGCUGAGCAUGGUUGGAGUUGAGUUUUUGGAGCUAUUGGCUAAAUUUUUUUAUUUUAAAUAUGCCAACUCACCUUUUAGCCAAGGGUUUUAGAUGGUUGGGGAUGCUCUAAGAGGAAUGAAAAUUUUCUUUUGUACAUUUUUUCUCACUCCUAAUUUCGAAUACAAAUUUCAUUCCAUUCACCCUUCAUUCCAUUUUAUCCAAAUGAACGCAGCACUAAAGUUGCCUUGCAUUCACUUAAAUAAAAUGAAAUUUAAACUCUAAAUUGAGGGUAAUUACAGAAAGUGUCUAUAAUUUUCAUUCACCAAUCAUUCCAAUCUAAAUAAUUUGAACAAGAAAACUAAUACACAUGUCAUGACGAAAAAUUAUGACAAUCUUUAACGACAAAAAACUAACAUAUGUCACUAAACUAAGCUAUAAAUCUUUUAAAAACACGAAUUACAAAACAAAUUUUAAGACAGUUAAGAAAUUUGUCUCCCAUUUACAUAAUUAAACUGGUGUUUUCUGGUAAAACAUAAAAGAAUGAAAGUAUAGAACUUAAAGGUUUACAGAAGUAAAACUAUUGAAACCUUACAACAAUGCAGGAAAUAUCAUCGUCGCUUUUUCUUGGUACGAGCCUCCUCGGCAUAUGCUUUGCAGCCACCUUUGAGUAGGGCUGUAAUUCGAGUCAAGUCGGGCGAGUUUCGAGCCGAGCCUAAUUCGAGCCAAGUUUAAUCGAGUCGAGCCGAGCCAGCUCGGUUAACUAAUCGAGCCUAAAUCUUUGCCCGAACUCGACUCGGUUAAUUUCACGAGUCGAGUCGAGCCGGCUCGUUUAGCUAAACGAGCCGGUUUUAACGAGCCGAGCGGCUGGGGGCGGAGCCGGCUCGUUUAAUUAAGCGAGCCAAAACCUUUGCCCGAACUCGGCUCGUUUAACGAGUCGAGCCGAGCCCACUUAAACGAGUUCGAGCCGGGCGAGCUCGCGAGCCGCCCGACUCGAAUUACAGCUCUACCUUUGAGUACUUCCUUAUAUUUUUUAUCGAAUCAACUACUUCCUGAUUAGACAUCACCUGUCAGUACACUAGGAAAAUACCCUUAUAUCCACAUCUUAGUUCACUAUUUUCACAUUAAUUUCCCUUUUACAGAUGAAAAAGGUUAGUGCAUUGUUCACUGUAACGUAAAUGAACUGGGUGGAAUAUGAAUUGAGUUGGCUCCCUUCCACAAAUUCUUGGCCUCCGGGCUUAAAUAGAUUUGAGUGAGGCACAUGAUCGGAACCUGAUGACUGCUGCACUUCCCUAGCUUCAUCAAAAUCGUGCUGUUGGUUUCUAAACCAGAGCCACCUUCUGUGCAAUUUCAGCACUUCAAUUAUAAAAUAUCCCCACACAUUGCUCCUCCAAAUCCAGCAAAUGCAGCAAGAAAUAUUGACAGGACCACAUGGACUCGGAGCUGCACAUCCCCACACAGAUGAUCAAUAUAUGCAUUCCAACUUGAUUACUAUAUCACCCAUUAUGUCUUCUGUGCAUAAUUCUAGCUUCAAUCUCUAAAUUACAAUUAACCUUCUUAAUACAGCUCCAUGUUAUAGACUUGUACUCACUGUUCACCCAAUCAACCUUGUCACCUACAGAUUCAAUAACCUCCUUCCUAACUGGAUCCUUAAGAGCUUCAAACUCCUGCACAUAAUCAUAAUCUUAAUCCGAAUCUUGAGAAAAUUAUAAAAAAAAAAAGUAAUAAAUUUCAGCAAAAAUCAGUUGCAACUUGUCUUGAUCAUACAACAAUAUGCAUUAUCAAGAAGCCUUUCCGAAAGAUAAUCAUGUGGUGUGAACAUGAAAUAACUUUUACUCAUGAACUGCUACAUGCUAUAGUAACAAAAUGGCUUAAUACGAACAAAACUCAGGUGACAAGAAGGUAGAAACAAGACCGAAAUGUUAGUCAGAGGUUCAGUAACUUCAGCACCAAUAGCUGUGUAAUUAAAUAAUUGUGUAUGUUAUCUUUGUGGCUGAAUAGUAUGGCAGGUAAACGUUCAAUGUUCAUCAAUCAUCCACCAGGUAUCAGCGAUUGAGGGGAACUGAGCAAAUGGCAACAAAUCAGAAAGUGUAAUCCCUAUUUAUGAGCCCAAUGUUGUUUUUUGUAAAGGCUUUGAGGACUUAUAUUCUUACAUCAUAUUUAUUUCCUAACCAUCUUCGAACUUUAUCCAGGAGUACAGGUUAUCUACAUUUCUUCCGUAGCAAACACUAUUAAACUCACUUUUUAAGUGUACUCUUUAUGUGUGGGUGGGAUUGUGGAUGGCUGAGUUGCAAUUACGAUGUGUACAAGAUUACAAGUACAGAUGAAAAUUUAAGUUUGCUAUCUUUAAUGGGAAUAAAUCCAAGUUCGAAAUUCACUUAAGGUCGCAAAUUUUAAGCUACUUUCCAUAUAAAAUUUUAAAAAAGUAAAAACUAUUUGAAUAAGCCUCAGACAAUUAACAAAUUGUCAUAUGAUGUAAAUGCAAGUAGUUUAUGUGAAUGUUAGAUUAAGAUAACCUGAUAGACAUUAAGAAGAAGAUACUCACUUUGCCCUUACAGAUAAAAUAAGGUUAACAAAUACAAUCUUGAAGAUUGAUACAUACCUUCUCAACAGUUUCAUCAUUCGAUCUUUCUAACCUCCAUGUGCGACUCUUCGAAAGACCCGGCACUAAUACCAAGCCAUCAUCAAAAACCAAAAGAAGCCAUCAUUUGUAUUAUUAUCAUUCAUUCAUCUCUAUUAGGAGACACGACCUAAAUGUCAAUUAUAAGGAAAAUAUUAUCAGGAUUUUAGUCAAAGUCAAGGACUCAAGGCUAAUAAUUUGUGAUACUCUGGGAGCUAUUAAAAUCACUACUGGUGUCAUUGUCAGCCACCCCUGCAGCUACAAUAACAAAUAGGAUUUUUACUAAGAUAGUAACAUUAGAAAGAUUGCCAAAAGUGCAGAAUUUUGGAGCACUAUGCUAUCAAUUAUCAUUGCCUAAAUGUAUGGUAACACAUCACAUAAUGCAGUGCAGUAUGUGAUUUUACGAUGACCCCCUACUAUAGUAAACUAACAAAACAUGAUAGAUUCAUAGGGCAGCAACAAUUUUCUUUGAGUUCAAAUAUAAAGAUAGACAAAAAAAUGUUUGGAUAAGCUUUGCAUAAUUAACAAAACAUUAGAUGAUGUAACAAGCAGUUGGUAUGUGUUAAAAUAAAAAUAAUAUAGGAAGAUAUACAUUUGGAAACAUAUACUUGCCUGUCAUUGAUUAGUUGCGAUUAGAGUGUGGAGAAGGUUACAAAUGAAAAUUCUAAUUUGCUACCCUUUUUUUUUUAUAGAAUUUCACAAUAUAAAAGUAUUUAUAGUCACCGAUGGUAAAUAAUUUACAAUGUUAAUUGAUACACAAUGAAAGGCUAUCCUAAUAAACAUUGCACAACUGUGAACUGGAAAAUAAAUAUAUAUAUAGGGGUGGGUUCUGGUACAAACUUACAAACUUACAAACUUUCUGCGUUCAACACAUAUAUAAUUUGAGUUCAACAUUUUUUUAACAUAUUUUGUUGAACAUCGAUUAAAAUUGUGUCGGAGAAGUACAUAAACUAAUUUUUUAAUGUAAGAACUAAGUUAAACGUAUUAUACAACUAUUAUUUAUAUUUCUAAACCCCACCCAAACCCCAGAGGUAUAGUUUAAGUAUCUUUAUAGAUAUAUUCAACAUGAUGAUAAUUAGUGUUCUACACCCGAUGUUGAACCCCAGUUACAAAUGUGUUGAAUGCGCAAUUUAUUUAUGCGUUAUUUUUAAAAAUUGUGAUGUUUUUUCAAGAAUUUUCAAUAUGAAUACUUGUAUACAAGGAUCAGAGGAUGCGAGAAUAAAAUAAAAUGUUACAAGUUCAAAAUAGAAACUUUUUAAGUGGUUACAUUUCAUAAAGGUAACACAUACAAUUUGAAAAUUGAUGCCUACCUAGAAGAUGUAAUAUGCCUCGACAAUUAAGAUCGUCCAGCAGAGCACAAUGUUGCCUUUAACAAUAUUAUCAUCUACCAAUAACUGCUACGAUUAUAUUUUGAGCAAACAUAAAAAUCAAACUAUAACACAAGCAUACAGUGAUACGUUUAUCAAGAAAACAACUUACUGAUUUUCUUAAAAAAGCUCCACUAAAUAAACAACAUAAAAAUGCAAUGGCACACCAAAACCCAGGAACCCACAUCACCUCAAAAAUUAGUGAGAUUCCAUCCUUUCUGAAUGUAAAAACAGUGCAUGUAAUUUUGGUCUAAUAACCACAAAGACCGGAUAGCCUGCCUUCCAAUAUAUGCAAAAUACAAUAUAAUACCAAUACGAGGUGAUAUGGACAGCGGAGAGAUGCAUAAUCGUAGUCAGAGAACAGGUACGCAAAAAGCUGAAGUUUAGAAUACGAGCAGGUCAUAUCUACAUGGGAUGUCAGUAUUGAAUAUGGAACAAUAUAUAACUGAGGGCAUGAUUUAAAAUAAAUUAAUGGGCAGAUGUGGCUAGUAAUUAUAUGAUGUGGCAGGCCGAGAUGAUAUAAAGUGGUUUGGUAAAGGUGUAUGUUGCAGCAUUUUAUAUAUAAUAGUCUAAUAGAUGCAUAGUCUCAGCAGAAUUUACCAUGAGACACAAUACCGUUUAUGAGAGUUCUUGCAAGUAACCACACUUGGAAAAAGAUCGCGCUUAAUAAUUCCCCAAGCUAUGAAAACCCACAGUCAACAUCAUUUAAGUGACAAAAGCAGUUGAUGAUGAUACUAAAGGUGAAUAUAUCAACAGGAACUACAAAAACACACAUCUCUCAACAAAGUACUCUUUCAUUUUAACAAGUGCAAGUAAGAUUUUAUUGAAUUCGAUAACCGGAGGCAGAGGCCUCUUCCUAAGCAUUUGACGAAACAAAGAAAGAGGUUCCUCGAACUUAACAUAAUCUAGUUUAGGCUUCAAUAAGACUUAUCUUUCAGAUUAAAUAAAUUAUUAGAUUCAUUUGUGAAAAAUGCAGGCAAAAUCGAAAAGAUUAUGUACCUGGGCACUCUCUUCCUUUCACACACCUAUGGAUCGGAGAGUACUUAUUACGCAAGGCAAGGAGAGGAGGAUCCGGUUCUUGAACUUCAAGUAAGUCCAGUAAUGCAGAUGCUGUAGAUGCAUCUGCUGCAAAGCUGUGACCAAGCAUUUCAUCUAGGAAUACACCUGCUUCAUAGUACUUCUUAUUAUGUAAACAACCACAGAUAAGCAUGUUGUAUGUGACAUCAGUAGGCAAGCAAUCAUUAGCUUCCAUUUCCCUGAAUAGUUCAGUCGCUUCAUUCAAUAACCCUCCAUGAAAAUAUGCUUGGAUCAUCAUUGUGUAUGUCUUGACAUUAGGUCGCAGACCUUUCGCAGGAAGGUUGCUAAAAAGAGUUCUUGCUGCUUCAAGUUGUCCGUUUUUGCUUAAUCCAUCAAUCAGAAUGGUGUAAAUAUAUAUAUCAGGAACUAGCCCACUGCAUUCCAUCAUUUGGAAAAAGGACAGUGCUUCACGAACAUAACCGUUCUUGCAAAGACCGUCCAAUAUAAUAGCGCAAGUCACUUUAUCCAACUGAAGACCUUUGUUCAGCAUCAUCUUUUCCUUAAAAAAUUUACGUGCUUCAACAUGUCUACCCGCACGAAAAAAACCUUGCAGUAUAGUAUUGUAAGUGUCAAUAGUUGGGGUUAAACCUUCAGAGGGCAUUUGUUGAAAAAGGUCUAUGGCUCUGUCCACUUUCAACUUUUUACAAUAACCAUUGAUGAGGAUAUUAUAGCUAAGAGUAUCAGGCAAUAUUCCCUUUCUCGUCAUGCUUUCGAACACUGCUAAUGUUUUAUCAACCUCUCCUCUCAAGCAGUAUCCAUCCAUUAGUGCAUUAUACGUUACUACAUCAGGAUAAUGGCCUCUUUGAAUCAUCAACUCUAUCACAUCCUCUGCAUCUUCAAUCAUUCCUUCUUUGCAAUACGCAUCAACCAAUAUAUUGUAAGUAAAAAGAUUUCGAGAAAUGUUCCUAACAUCCAUCUCGUUGAGCAAUAGUUUGACAUCAUGCCAUUGAUUAAUGUCACAUAGUCCUUGAAUUAAUGAGGUGUAGGUUCUAACAUUUGGAGAUAUGACUUCCCUUGUCAUUUGGUGGAGAAGACCCAAUGCUUGAUCGACUAAUCUAUGUUUACAUAAACAGUCAAUAAGUGUGUUGUAAGUCACAGUAUCAGGCUUGCAACCUCUGUUCUUCAUAUACUUAAACAAUGUAACAGCCACAGAAGGAUUCCCUCUCUUGCAGAUGCCGUUAAUAAUUGUGUUAUAGGUGAAAACAUUGGGUUUAAUAAGUUGAAAUCUGAUGAGGUUCUGGAACAAAAGCUGAGCCUCAUGAGGCAUAUCUUGGGAAAUAAGGCCCCUGAUGAGAGUGGUAUAAGUAACCACACUUGGCACAAAACCGUGCUUGAUGAUUCCAGCCAAUAGUGAAAAGGCAAAAUCGACACGAUUCAAGUGACAAAAGCAGUUAAUAAGAGUAUUAAAAGUAAUUACACAAACAGGGAUGCUUUCUACACGCAUCUUUCUAAAAAGGGAGACGGCUACAGAGUACUCUUUCAUUUUAACAAGGGCAGCUAGUAGUUGAGCGAAGUUGAUAACAGGAAGCAGAGGUUUGAUAAGGAGCAUUUUAUCAAACACUUGGAGAGCAUCAUCGAGUUUAUCGAAACCAACCUUGGACUUCUCAAGGAGUAAAUAUUGAAGACGAGCAUGAGAUGGAUUAGAGGAAUAAGGGAAUUGGGGUUUGGGUUUCAAGGGAAUAUUAGGGUUAGGUUUAGUGGAGAAGUGAGAAACUGCAAUAACAGAAACAAAGGAUGCAAGACAACAAGUAUGAGCUGAAGCUGAAGCUGAAGAAUGUCGUAAGAAUCGAGAAUUUAAAAUCACAAAUUUCUUCAUCAACAUCAUAUCUCUACUUGUCGGGGACUCAAAAAAAUUAGCUGGCUGAGCUGAGCAGAG